AUGAUAUCACAGAUCAUAUUGUUGCCAAGUGGAUGAAAUAGAGUUCGCUUCUAAGGUCUUGUGUGAUUAAGAGAAGCUGCCACCAAAACUUAAAGUCAGGUUCUAUAGAGUUUGACCAACUUUGUUGUAUGGGGCGGAAUGUUGGACAAGGUGGAGCUAAGCUAUAUUGGUUUUCUGAAGCGGGAAUAGAAGAAAAAGUGA
rnacentral:misc_RNA from 1 species